rnacentral:rRNA from 1 species
GACGAGAGACCGAUAGCGAACAAGUACCGUGAGGGAAAGAUGAAAAGAACUUUGAAAAGAGAGUUAAAUAGUACGUGAAAUUGUUGAAAGGGAAACGAUUGAAGCCAGUCGUACCUGCGGGUAAUCAGCCUUUUGGGCAUGAUUCUGUGGAGCGUGAGGAGUUAAACGCCUUCAUGCCUGCAUAUUCGUGUACUUUGGGUGUACUUGCCUGUGUGGUUAGUUAACAUCAAUUUUGGUUAUCAUAAAAUGGCUGGAGGAAUGUAGCUUCGAUUUCGAUUGAAGUGUUAUAGCCUUCGGCAGAUGUGAUGAUCGGGAUUGAGGAUUGCAACGGAUACCCUUCGGGGCUACCUGUCUGGUCUCUGAUCGUUGCUCUGGUGCCGAAAGCGUGCUUACGGUUAUCAAAGUCGAUGGUCAAUAGGUUAGAACGGGUUAAA